rnacentral:rRNA from 1 species
UACGUAGGGUGCAAGCGUUAAUCGGAAUUACUGGGCGUAAAGCGUGCGCAGGCGGUUUUGUAAGUCUGUCGUGAAAGCCCCGGGCUCAACCUGGGAACUGCAUUUGUGACUGCAUAGCUAGAGUACGGUAGAGGGGAUGGAAUUCCGCGUGUAGCAGUGAAAUGCGUAGAUAUGCGGAGGAACACCGAUGGCGAAGGCAAUCCCCUGGACCUGUACUGACGCUCAUGCACGAAAGCGUGGGGAGCAAACAGG